ensembl:snRNA U6 U6 spliceosomal RNA
UGUCCUGCUGACUUACUUACAGUACACUCAACCUGUAACAAUACAGAGGAGAUUAGCGUGGCCCCAGCUCAAGGAUGAAUUGUUUGACUUCUCUUAUGAUAUGCAUUUCA